rnacentral:rRNA from 1 species
UUGGUGAGGUAACGGCUCACCAAGCCGACGAUCGGUAGCCGGACUGAGAGGUUGAACGGCCACAUUGGGACUGAGACACGGCCCAGACUCCUACGGGAGGCAGCAGUGGGGAAUAUUGCACAAUGGGGGAAACCCUGAUGCAGCGACGCCGCGUGGAGGAAGAAGGUCUUCGGAUUGUAAACUCCUGUUGUUGAGGAAGAUAAUGACGGUACUCAACAAGGAAGUGACGGCUAACUACGUGCCAGCAGCCGCGGUAAAACGUAGGUCACAAGCGUUGUCCGGAAUUACUGGGUGUAAAGGGAGCGCAGGCGGGAAGACAAGUUGGAAGUGAAAUCUAUGGGCUCAACCCAUAAACUGCUUUCAAAACUGUUUUUCUUGAGUAGUGCAGAGGUAGGCGGAAUUCCCGGUGUAGCGGUGGAAUGCGUAGAUAUCGGGAGGAACACCAGUGGCGAAGGCGGCCUACUGGGCACCAACUGACGCUGAGGCUCGAAAGUGUGGGUAGCAAACAGGAUUAGAUACCCUGGUAGUCCACACCGUAAACGAUGAUUACUAGGUGUUGGAGGAUUGACCCCUUCAGUGCCGCAGUUAACACAAUAAGUAAUCCACCUGGGGAGUACGACCGCAAGGUUGAAACUCAAAGGAAUUGACGGGGGCCCGCACAAGCAGUGGAGUAUGUGGUUUAAUUCGACGCAACGCGAAGAACCUUACCAAGUCUUGACAUCCCUUGACGAACAUAGAAAUAUGUUUUCUCUUCGGAGCAAGGAGACAGGUGGUGCAUGGUUGUCGUCAGCUCGUGUCGUGAGAUGUUGGGUUAAGUCCCGCAACGAGCGCAACCCUUAUGGUCAGUUACUACGCAAGAGGACUCUGGCCAGACUGCCGUUGACAAAACGGAGGAAGGUGGGGAUGACGUCAAAUCAUCAUGCCCUUUAUGACUUGGGCUACACACGUACUACAAUGGCGUUAAACAAAGAGAAGCAAGACCGCGAGGUGGAGCAAAACUCAGAAACAACGUCCCAGUUCGGACUGCAGGCUGCAACUCGCCUGCACGAAGUCGGAAUUGCUAGUAAUCGUGGAUCAGCAUGCCACGGUGAAUACGUUCCCGGGCCUUGUACACACCGCCCGUCACACCAUGAGAGCCGGGGGGACCCGAAGUCGGUAGUCUAACCGCAAGGAGGACGCCGCCGAAGGUAAAACUGGUGAUUGGGGUGAAGUCGUAACAAGGUAGCCGUAGGAGAACCUGCGGCUG